rnacentral:misc_RNA from 1 species
AAGUCGUAACAAGGUCUCCGUAGGUGAACCUGCGGAGGGAUCAUUACAGAGUUUUUAACUCCUAAAACCAUGUGAACUUACCACUGUUGCCUCGGUGGAAGGUGCCCGAAAGGGUGCUGGAAGCCGGCGGACAUCUAAACUCUUGUUAAUUUUUGUUAUUCUGAAUCAAACUAAGAAAUAAGUUAAAACUUUCAACAACGGAUCUCUUGGUUCUG